AGCCAUGUGGCAUAGUGGUUUGAGUGUUGGACGGUGACUCUGUAGACAAGGGUUUGAUUCCCCGCUUGGCCA